GACGAACGCUGGCGGCGUGCCUAAUACAUGCAAGUCGAGCGAAGAGGGGACGGGGGAGUAACACGUGGAUAACCUCGUAUAAGAAUGGGAAAAAUUCGGGAAACCGGAGCUAAAACGGAUAAUUAUAGAUGGAGCCGCGCUGCAUUAGGUAGUUGGUAAGGUAACGGCUUACCAAGGCAACGAUGCCUAGCCGACCUGAGAGGGUGGUCGGCCACACUGGAACUGAGACACGGUCCAGACUCCUACGGGAGGCAGCAGUGGGGAAUCUUCCGCAAUGGGGGAAACCCUGACGGAGCCACGCCGCGUGAGUGAUGAAGGUCUUCGGUUCGUAAAACUCUGUUAUUAGGGAAGCGUUACCUAAACAGAAAGCCCCGGCUAACUCCGUGCCAGCAGCCGCGGUAAUAC
rnacentral:rRNA from 1 species